rnacentral:lncRNA from 1 species
CCUAAAGUGUAAUUAGCUCGAUUAAUAGUCAACGGCUUGGUCAACAGCUUUUUGGUCAACAGCACGGCUCGACCAACUCGGCUUGGCUUGGCAUGCACAAUGCAUGGCUUGACUUGGCUCAGCGCACGUAGUGUGGGGGGCUCACUUUUCUUCUUUGCUUGUGGUGCGUUUGUGAGAGUGGAUCUCACGCGUGCUUCUUUAGGCGGCGUAUGGGGGAGCGUGCUGUGUCAAUUUUUGACGCGGUUGGCUUUUGGGGCUUCGUUUCGAGAGAGGAACAUGUGGUGCUAUCAGAAAUCAAUUUCAAGCACUUUUUUAAAAAUUCGAAACUUGACCCGUGGUCUGAUACCAAUUGUUGUGCUCAAAACGAAUCACCGAUCACACACACAAGACAAUAAAGAUUUAUGUAUUUCGACCAAUGAUGUCUACAUCCAUAGAGAGAAAUAAAUAAUCCACUAAUUGAACGAAGAUGAUUACAAAUGAGGAGACUCACUCUCUCAGCUUUUCUCUCACAAUCUCUCUUUGUCUUACCUCUCAUUUUCAACACCUUUUUCAUAGUUUACAGCACAUAAGGCUCAGCUCUGCCUUUUAUAGACCAAGUGAAGGAGAUUGUAGACUUUCAAUAGGAUACUUAAUUGUUAUCUUAUUCUAUCUAGGAAAAUAUAUCAUAACUCAAGCCUAACUUUUCAAGAGAUAAUCAUUUCAAGAGUUUAGUUAACUCGAGAGUUUCACUUUCACAUGAACACUCCAUGUGAGCCAACUGAGUUUCAACCCAAAUAUAUGGGUUGGACUCAACAACAAGCCCGUAAUCUACAAGGAAGCUCUUCAGAGAUUGAUUCCUAGCCAUCAAAUAACUAGUAAUUUAAUACCUAAGUUAAUCAUACUCCAAAGAUAUCCAAAUAGUAGACUUUUUAAGAAACUCUCUUAGGAAUUCAUUAGAGUUUCGAAACAUCUCCUUUUCCUUAUGGAUUGAGCCUAGAAUCUAAGAUUAGUGAGAUUUCUAUUUAGUUUGGAAAUAUUAUUGCAGGUGAGAUAGGAAAUCAGAAUCACUUUCCCCUAUUUAGUUUAGGAAUAUGCAAUAAUGAUAAAUGCUUAAGGAAAUAAUGACCGCUACUUCUUCUAAUCAUUUUGAGAUGCUUUUCCUUCAUAAACCAAGUUGAGAAUGUAUUUAGUUGAGAUCGAUGAUUCAUCAUAUCUGAAAAAAGUAUGGACCCUCCUCAAUAGAUAAUAGCCUAGCGAUAAUCUAUGAAGAUAAUGCAACGUGUAUCUCUAAGGUGAUAAAGCUAAGUACAGUUCACCAAAGUUCUUUUAUACAUGAGCUCCAUAAGAGCGAAGACAUCGAUGUCCAACAACUACGUUUAAUCGACAAUCUAACAGAUUUAUUUAUCAAAGCACUUUCAACUACAAUAUUCAAGAAGCUGAUGCAUGAUAUUGGAAUGCAGUGACUCAAAGAUUUAUCAGGCUGUGUUAAGGUGGAGUCACUUAUUUGAAGAAUGUGGGCAUAUUGUCCUCUUUUUUCCCUUCAUCUAAGGCUUUUUUUAUUCGAUUUUUUUAGUAAGUUUUUAACAAAGCAAUCUGUGGACAUCUCAUCCCAUUAUUAACAACACAAGGAUAACGCAAUCUUUUUCUUUGGCCAAAAUUUUUUUCGUACUGGGUUUUUCUUGGCAAGAUUUUAACGAGACAUAUUCUUAGUGUUCAGCUAUCCAAGGGAGAGUCUUAUGACAUUAAUUAUCUGUCAGUAUUAAUAACUGAGGAGUUAAUGCAUGCGGUAAUAAAUGCAUUUAUUAUUUGAUAUAUAUAUGUGUGUGUGUGUGUGUUUACUUGCAAUUUAAUUUUAGACACGGAGAAAAGAAAAAAAAGAAAGUUAGAGAGAAGAAAUAAAUGAAUGAGAAUUUAAUUGGUAUAGAAAAUUAAUUUUGUUUAUGAUAGUUUCAGAACAACUAUAAUUUAAUUGGUUUUAUUUUUUUUUACGCAAGCAUGAUGUAAUCUUGCCAUGUAUAUAUAUAUGGUAGCCAUUAUGGGCUUUAGUAAUUGGACUCAUCUAAUUUAAUUGGAUCACAUUGGGGUAAUUGAUGUAAUUGAUGUUGGAUCAUGGUGGAAUUUUAGUAUGAUGAUCAUGGGAGCCAGAUCUUUAUAUCUAAUGGUAUAAAUUUGAGGUAAGCAGGAGGUAUACAAUAUGCUUUCUAAACUCCGGAGUACUUUUUUAAAUUAUCUGAUCUUGUAUUCUUCUUGAGUAUGUGUGAUAUCUGUUGAAAUCUAUGGUAUUUUAUUGGGAUCGUGAUCUGUAUGAUAUUAUUGAGUGAUGGCUUACAAGUGACUUGUGGUUUUAUUUGAGCUAUUGAAUAUGAGCCGUUAUAAUUGUUAUUGGGCUUGUAGUUGGGAUUGUAUGAAAUGGAUUUUAAACUAGAAUUUAAAAUAAGGCCUAAGGGCCUAAAUUAUAAUUAUUUCUCCAAGAGCCUUAAGCGUAAUUUUUUGAAGGAAAUAACGCGUAAAAUUUUUCCCU